GAUGUGUUUAUCGGCUGUUUGGACUCUCAUUCUGACGGCACCCAUUGCAUUAUUCUUUUAGGUCCUGCGAUGAAACCUCUGAAACAUUUGGUGCACACCCGUCGAAAAGCUGUCAUCUCUUCUGGUGUCUGCAGAGGAGGAUCAAAGCGGGAACAGGCAGCCAACGAGAGAGAGGGAAAGAAAGAGAGAUUUCGGGGUGAACCAGAGGACGCAGCCUCUUCUGUUGAACAGGCCUGAACUAUGAUGCCUGGCCACCCACACAGUUUGCUUGCUGACAUUUAGCAAAAAUUCAACAGUCCUCUUCCCUUGGUAUGUAAAAACUUUGCAUCAACUUAACUAGAUCGUGUUUCUAUGAAUUAUUUAUACUAUGAGAUAAAUACUUUUGUGACAGUCAAUACUGUCAACAGAGACUGUGAGAAGACACCAACUUUCAUAAGCUGUUUCAGCCUGCAUGCUUGACACCCUACAGUUUUGGAUCUCUCUCUCUCUCUCUCUCUAUCUAUCAUCUGUCUUUUGCUCUAUCGUUCUAUUGUUCUGUUGUCCAUCUGGGUCCAUCCAUUUUUAUUUGAUUUGUUUGUUAAGUAUUUCAAUUACAAAU
rnacentral:lncRNA from 1 species